UGGAUCCAGACUUUGAUCAUGGCUCAGGAUGAACGCUAGCUACAGGCUUAACACAUGCAAGUCGAGGGGAAACGACAUCGAAAGCUUGCUUUUGAUGGGCGUCGACCGGCGCACGGGUGAGUAACGCGUAUCCAACCUGCCCAUCACUUGGGGAUAACCUUGCGAAAGUAAGACUAAUACCCAAUGACGUCUCUAGAAGACAUCUGAAAGAGAUUAAAGAUUUAUCGGUGAUGGAUGGGGAUGCGUCUGAUUAGCUUGUUGGCGGGGUAACGGCCCACCAAGGCAACGAUCAGUAGGGGUUCUGAGAGGAAGGUCCCCCACAUUGGAACUGAGACACGGUCCAAACUCCUACGGGAGGCAGCAGUGAGGAAUAUUGGUCAAUGGGCGAGAGCCUGAACCAGCCAAGUAGCGUGCAGGAUGACGGCCCUAUGGGUUGUAAACUGCUUUUAUAAGGGAAUAAAGUGAGUCUCGUGAGACUUUUUGCAUGUACCUUAUGAAUAAGGACCGGCUAAUUCCGUGCCAGCAGCCGCGGUAAUACGGAAGGUCCGGGCGUUAUCCGGAUUUAUUGGGUUUAAAGGGAGCGUAGGCCGGAGAUUAAGCGUGUUGUGAAAUGUAGACGCUCAACGUCUGCACUGCAGCGCGAACUGGUUUCCUUGAGUACGCACAAAGUGGGCGGAAUUCGUGGUGUAGCGGUGAAAUGCUUAGAUAUCACGAAGAACUCCGAUUGCGAAGGCAGCUCACUGGAGCGCAACUGACGCUGAAGCUCGAAAGUGCGGGUAUCGAACAGGAUUAGAUACCCUGGUAGUCCGCACGGUAAACGAUGGAUGCCCGCUGUUGGUCUGAAUAGGUCAGCGGCCAAGCGAAAGCAUUAAGCAUCCCACCUGGGGAGUACGCCGGCAACGGUGCAACUCAAAUGAAUUGACGGA
rnacentral:rRNA from 1 species